UGGGGAUCAUUGGGGAUCACUGGGGAUCAUUGGGGAUCACUGGGGAUCAUUGGGGAUCGCUGGGAUCAUUGGGGAUCACUGGGGAUCAUUGGGGAUCUCAGUGCUUGGCACAGCCCCGAGAUCUGGGAACGUUGGGGAUCUGGGACCUUGGCACAGUCCUGGGACCUAGGGGAUCAUUGGGGAUCAUUGGGGAUCGUUAGGGAUCUCUGGGGAUCUCAGACCUUGGCACAGCCCCAGGACCCGGGGGAUCACUGGGGAUCAUUGAGGAUCGCUGGGAUCAUUGGGGAUUGCUGGGGAUCGUUGAGGAUCAGUGGGGAUCUUUGGGGAUCUCAGAGCUUGGCACAGCCCUGGGACCUGGGAACUUUGGGGAUCUGGGACCUUGGCACAGCCCCAAAACCUGGGGGAUCACUGGGAUCAUUGGGGAUCACUGGGGAUCAUUGGGGAUCUCAGUGCUUGGCACAGCCCCGAGAUCUGGGAACUUUGGGGAUCUGGGUCCUUGGCACAGCCGUAGGACCUGGGGGAUCACUGGGGAUCAUUGGGGUCAUUGGGGGUCACUGGGAUCACUGGGGAUCUGGGGGAUCUCAGUGCUUGGCACAGCCCCGGGACCUGGGGGAUCACUGGGAUCACUGGGGAUCACUGGGGAUCACUGGGGAUCUCAGACCUUGGCACAGCCCUGGGAUCCAGAGAACUUUGGGGACUCUUAGCCCCCCCAGUGCAUGCCCCUUGCCCCAUUUUGGGGGGGCUCUUAGCCCCUCUUGGUACAUGCCCCUUGCCCCAUUUUAGGGGGCUCUUAGCCCCCCUCGCUGCGUGCCCCAUGCCCCAUUUUGUGGGCUCUUAGCCCCUCUCAGUGCAUGCCCCUUGCCCCAUUUUGGGGGGGCUCUCAGCCCCUCUUGUUACAUGCCCCCAUGCCCCAUUUUGGGGGGCUCUCAGCCCCUCUUGUUACAUGCCCCUUGCCCCAUUUUGGGGGGCUCUCAGCCCCUCUUGGUCCAUGCCCCUUGCCCCAUUUUGGGGGGGCUCUUAGCCCCUCUUGUUACAUGUCCCUUGGCCCAUUUUGGGGGGGCUCUUAGCCCCUCUUGGUCCAUGCCCCUUGCCCCAUUUUGGGGGGCUCUCAGCCCCUCUUUGUACAUGCCCCUUGCCCCAUUUUGGGGUCUCUUAGCCCCUCUUGUUACAUGCCCCUUGCCCCAUUUUUGGGGGGCUCUUAGCCCCUCUCACUGCGUGCCCCUUGGCCCAUUUUGGGGGGGCUCUUAGCCCCUCUUGGUCCAUGCCCCUUGCCCCAUUUUGGGGGGCUCUCAGCCCCUCUUUGUGCGUGCCCCUUGCCCAAUUUUGGGGUCUCAUUGAGGAACAUGCCCACUUGCUGCUCAGCCAUCACACAGCAGC
rnacentral:lncRNA from 1 species